rnacentral:rRNA from 1 species
AGUGAACGCUGGCGGUAGGCCUAACACAUGCAAGUCGAACGGCAGCACAGUAAUAGCUUGCUCUUACGGGUGGCGAGUGGCGGACGGGUGAGGAAUACAUCGGAAUCUACUUUUUCGUGGGGGAUAACGUAGGGAAACUUACGCUAAUACCGCAUACGACCUACGGGUGAAAGCAGGGGAUCUUCGGUCCUUGCGCGAUUGAAUGAGCCGAUGUCGGAUUAGCUAGUUGGCGGGGUAAAGGCCCACCAAGGCGACGAUCCGUAGCUGGUCUGAGAGGAUGAUCAGACACACUGGAACUGAGACACGGUCCAGACUCCUACGGGAGGCAGCAGUGGGGAAUAUUGGACAAUGGGCGCAAGCCUGAUCCAGCCAUACCGCGUGGGUGAAGAAGGCCUUCGGGUUGUAAAGCCCUUUUGUUGGGAAAGAAAAGCAGCAGGUUAAUACCCCGCUGUUCUGACGGUACCAAAAGAAUAAGCACCGGCUAACUUCGUG